rnacentral:rRNA from 1 species
UACGGAGGGAGCUAGCGUUGUUCGGAAUUACUGGGCGUAAAGCGCACGUAGGCGGCUUUGUAAGUCAGAGGUGAAAUCCCAAGGCUCAACCUUGGAACUGCCUUUGAUACUGGGGAUCUUGAGUCCGGGAGAGGUGAGUGGAACUGCGAGUGUAGAGGUGAAAUUCGUAGAUAUUCGCAAGAACACCAGUGGCGAAGGCGGCUCACUGGCCCGGUACUGACGCUGAGGUGCGAAAGCGUGGGGAGCAAACAGG